AACGAACGCUGGCGGCAUGCCUAACACAUGCAAGUCGAACGAGACCUUCGGGUCUAGUGGCGCACGGGUGCGUAACGCGUGGGAACCUGCCUUUAGGUUCGGAAUAACUCAGAGAAAUUUGAGCUAAUACCGGAUGAUGUCUUCGGACCAAAGAUUUAUCGCCUUUAGAUGGGCCCGCGUUGGAUUAGCUAGUUGGUGGGGUAAAGGCCUACCAAGGCGACGAUCCAUAGCUGGUCUGAGAGGAUGAUCAGCCACACUGGGACUGAGACACGGCCCAGACUCCUACGGGAGGCAGCAGUGGGGAAUAUUGGACAAUGGACGAAAGCCUGAUCCAGCAAUGCCGCGUGAGUGAUGAAGGCCUUAGGGUUGUAAAGCUCUUUUACCCGAGAUGAUAAUGACAGUAUCGGGAGAAUAAGCUCCGGCUAACUCCGUG
rnacentral:rRNA from 1 species